rnacentral:tRNA from 2 species
GCCCUCGUAGCUCAAUUGGAUAGAGCACCGGACUUCUAAUCCGAAGGUUGCAGGUUCGAGUCCUGCCGGGGGUG